UACGUAGGGGGCUAGCGUUGUCCGGAAUCAUUGGGCGUAAAGCGCGUGUAGGCGGUUCGGUAAGUCCGCUGUGAAAGUCGGGGGCUCAACCCUCGGAUGCCGGUGGAUACUGUCGGACUAGAGUACGGAAGAGGCGAGUGGAAUUCCUGGUGUAGCGGUGAAAUGCGCAGAUAUCAGGAGGAACACCGAUUGCGAAGGCAGCUCGCUGGGACGUUACUGACGCUGAGACGCGAAAGCCAGGGGAGCGAACGGG
rnacentral:rRNA from 1 species